rnacentral:rRNA from 1 species
GACGAACCGUGCGAACGUUGUUCGGAAUCACUGGGCAUAAAGGGCGCGUAGGCGGGCCGUAAAGUCAGGGGUGAAAUCCUCCAGCUUAACUGGAGAACUGCCUUUGAUACUGACGGCCUCGAGUGAGGUAGGGGCGUGCGGAACUGAUGGUGGAGCGGUGAAAUGUGUUGAUAUCAUCAGGAACUCCGGUGGCGAAAGCGGCACGCUGGACCUCUACUGACGCUGAGGCGCGAAAGCCAGGGGAGCGAACGGG